GAAGUCUGACGGAGCAACGCCGCGUGAGUGAUGAAGGUUUUCGGAUCGUAAAGCUCUGUUGUUAGGGAAGAACAAGUGCAAGAGUAACUGCUUGCACCUUGACGGUACCUAACCAGAAAGCCACGGCUAACUACGUGCCAGCAGCCGCGGUAAUACGUAGGUGGCAAGCGUUGUCCGGAAUUAUUGGGCGUAAAGGGCUCGCAGGCGGUUUCUUAAGUCUGAUGUGAAAGCCCCCGGCUCAACCGGGGAGGGUCAUUGGAAACUGGGAAACUUGAGUGCAGAAGAGGAGAGUGGAAUUCCACGUGUAGCGGUGAAAUGCGUAGAGAUGUGGAGGAACACCAGUGGCGAAGGCGACUCUCUGGUCUGUAACUGACGCUGAGGAGCGAAAGCGUGGGGAGCGAACAGGAUUAGAUACCCUGGUAGUCCACGCCGUAAACGAUGAGUGCUAAGUGUUAGGGGGUUUCCGCCCCUUAGUGCUGCAGCUAACGCAUUAAGCACUCCGCCUGGGGAGUACGGUCGCAAGACUGAAACUCAAAGGAAUUGACGGGGGCCCGCACAAGCGGUGGAGCAUGUGGUUUAAUUCGAAGCAACGCGAAGAACCUUACCAGGUCUUGACAUCCUCUGACAACCCUAGAGAUAGGGCUUUCCCUUCGGGGACAGAGUGACA
rnacentral:rRNA from 1 species